rnacentral:rRNA from 1 species
GAGUUUGAUCGUGGCUCAGGAUGAACGCUGGCGGCGUGCCUAAUACAUGCAAGUCGAACGAAUCUUCUUCGGAAGAUGAGUGGCGAACGGGUGAGUAAUACAUAGGUAACCUGCCCCUGUGCGGGGGAUAACAGGAGGAAACUCCUGCUAAUACCGCAUAGCCAUGAGCACCGCAUGGAGCUCAUGCCAAAUAUCCUUUAUGGGAUAGCGCAGGGAUGGACCUAUGGCGCAUUAGCUUGUUGGCGGGGCAACGGCCCACCAAGGCAACGAUGCGUAGCCGGCCUGAGAGGGCGGACGGCCACAUUGGGACUGAGACACGGCCCAGACUCCUACGGGAGGCAGCAGUAGGGAAUUUUCGGCAAUGGGGGAAACCCUGACCGAGCAACGCCGCGUGAGCGAAGAAGGCCUUCGGGUCGU